UCUCCUGUGGCGCAAUCGGUGGCGCGUCUGACUGUUAAUAUCAUUAGUUGAGAUUAGUAAAUCAGAAGGUUGUUAGUUCGAUCCUAACUGGGAGAG
rfam:Rhizoctonia solani isolate BBA 69670 genome assembly, contig: RSOLAG22IIIB_scaffold00757